rnacentral:tRNA from 1 species
UCCCUGGUGGUCUAGUGGUUAGGACUCCUGGUUUUCACCCAGGCAGCCUGGGUUUAGAAUCCGGGUUAUGGGA